rnacentral:rRNA from 1 species
UACGGGAGGCAGCAGUGGGGAAUAUUGCACAAUGGGCGCAAGCCUGAUGCAGCCAUGCCGCGUGUAUGAAAAAGGCCUUCGGGUUGUAAAGUACUUUCAGUCGUGAGGAAGGUGUUAAGGUUAAUAACCUUAGCAAUUGACGUUAGCGACAGAAGAAGCACCGGCUAACUCCGUGCCAGCAGCCGCGGUAAUACGGAGGGUGCGAGCGUUAAUCGGAAUUACUGGGCGUAAAGGGCACGCAGGCGGUUAAUUAAGUUGGAUGUGAAAUCCCCGGGCUAACCUGGGAAUGGCAUUCAAGAACUGGUUAGCUAGAGUCUUGUAGAGGGGGGUAGAAAUUCCAUGUGUAGCGGUGAAAAUGCGUAGAGAUGUGGAGGAAAUACCGGUGGCGAAAGGCGGCCCCUGGACAAAAGACUGACGCUCAUGUGCGAAAAGCGUGGGGAGCAAAACAGGGAUUAGAUACC